rnacentral:rRNA from 1 species
UACGGAGGGGGCUAGCGUUGUUCGGAAUUACUGGGCGUAAAGCGCGCGUAGGCGGACCUGCAAGUCAGGGGUGAAAUCCUGGAGCUCAACUCCAGAACUGCCUUUGAUACUGGCGAUCUCGAGUCCGGGAGAGGUGAGUGGAACUGCGAGUGUAGAGGUGAAAUUCGUAGAUAUUCGCAAGAACACCAGUGGCGAAGGCGGCUCACUGGCCCGGUACUGACGCUGAGGUGCGAAAGCGUGGGGAGCAAACAGG